CGUUUAGUGGUGUAGUGGUAGCACACCUACUUUACAUGUGCGGUUCGUUGACCAGUUUAGUACGAAGUCUUUGUUCGAUUCAAGGCCAGGCCA